AACAGGGCUUUAAGUCUAAAAUACCGAACUUGUCCUUUAAAGCAUCUUUAAACUUUAAAAACAUGUUGUUUGUCGUGACUCUACAUUGUAAUACUCACCCGGUUACAGUAAUUUGUGUAAUGUUGGACAUACGAUGAAACAACACGACAUUGAUACAGCAAUUUGACCUCACACUCAUUUUUAUCAGCAGAUUAGUGUGCUUUGAGUACACCACAGUUCUGUAAGUGAAAAAUUAAUUCAUAUUUAUGUGUGUUUCUUUCUCAGUAAGGACUAACUUUAACUGACUUUCUGUCUGUCUGUCUGUUCUCAACCAAACGGUCAUUCAAGACCUUUUAAAGCAAAAACAUUUCCCGUGCAAGUUUGAAUCUCUCUCAGUAAGGACUGAUUGACUGGCUGUCUGUUCUCGACCAAACGGUCAUUCUUACUCAUAAAAAACUUUUAAAGCACAAGUGUGUCCCGCGCAAGUUUGAAUUUCUCUCAGUAAGGACUGACGGACGGCCAUUCACUCAUAAAACCUUUUAAAAGCACAAGUGUUUCCCGUGCAAAUUAGAAUUUCUCUCAGUAAGGACUGACGGAUGGCCAUUCACUCAUAAAACCUUUUAAAGGUUAGCACGAAUGCAUCCAGCAUAAUUUUGGAUCUUUACCACUGAGGAGACUGGCUGACUGUUCUCAACCCACCAUUAUUCACAUGCAAAAACUUUAAAGGUAAGUAUGAACGUGUCUAGAGCAGUUUUGGAUCUUUACCAUUGAGGAGGUUGACUGACUUUCAUCUACCAACUGUCAUUAACACAACAAAAACUAAAGAAAUGUUACUACAAGUGGACCUAUUCAGUUACUCAUUAUGCUGUGAGUACACCACAAUUUUAUCAGUGAAACAAUAAUGUUUGUUUUUUUCUCAAUGCUUGGCAUAGACAAAUGUGACCCUGUGUAAUUUGGAAAUUUCAUGGGAAAUGUGUACGUCUUAAAAAUGUUUAAAUGUCGUUUGAGUUAAGGAACAGUACACUGAUUUAUUAAAAGUGCGCAAUACACUGAGUCUAUUAAAAUCAUAAAGGAAUACUGGAUAUAUUUCAUAAAGGAAUGUGUAAAUCUAAUAUUAGUUUUAAUGUGAAUUUGGACAGAAAAGCAAAAAAAUGUUUGUAAAAUAAACAAUUGUUUAAUAAACUGUAAUAAUUUUACCCUUUUCUGUCAUCAUUUUUUAUACUAAUGUUUGGUUUAAGGCAAUCGGUUUCCUCAAACGGUUUAAGUUGAGUUAACUUUUCGGGUUUUACAGUGUAACAACAAUAUACAAAAUCAAAAAGAGGAAAGCAUAUUUUAAGAAACAAAAAAUUUAAUUGGAUCCCAUUAAAAUCCUCUACAAAUUAUCCUAAAGGAUAUUUUUGUCGUGUCUUAAAAUCCUUUAGAAAUAUCCUCUAAUAGAAUCCUAUAGGAUUUUUUCUAAUGGAAUCCCAUAGAUGUUUUGUAAUGGAAUCCUUUAGGAUUUUUCUAAUGGAAUCCUAUAAGA